rnacentral:rRNA from 1 species
GACGAAUGCUGGCUGCGUGCUUAACACAUGCAAGUCGAACGGUGAAGGGGAGCUUGCUCCCCGGAUCAGUGGCGAACGGGUGAGUAACACGUGGGCAACCUGCCCCUCACUCUGGGAUAACUCCGGGAAACCGGGGCUAAUACCGGAUACGACCGGGAGCGACAUCGCUCCUGGUGGAAAGAACUUCGGUGAGGGAUGGGCCCGCGGCCUAUCAGCUAGUUGGUGGGGUAACGGCCCACCAAGGCGACGACGGGUAGCCGGCCUGAGAGGGCGACCGGCCACACGGGGACUGAGACACGGCCCAGACGCCUACGGGAGGCAGCAGUGGGGAAUAUUGCGCAAUGGGCGAAAGCCUGACGCAGCGACGCAGCGUGAGGGACGAAGGCCUUCGGGUUGUAAACCUCUUUCAGCGGGGACGAAGCGAAAGUGACGGUACCCGCAGAAGAAGCACCGGCUAACUACGUGCCAGCAGCCGCCGUAAUAC